UAUAAAAAAAAAUCAACAUACCAUCAUCAUUCCAUGCACCUUCGAUUUGAUAUGCUGAAGAAGCAGUACCGAGCAUAAAUUCUUCAGGAAAUUUAUGACAUCUAAACAUCUUGAAGAGGACUAUCUGGACUCUGGAGAACAGUAACGUAACCAAACGGCAACAAUUCAAUAUGGUCUGCUGGUCUGCAUUUCUGCUCAAGCACAACCAUGGAUUGGAGCACUAGAAAAACAGAAACACAGACAUUAUCCUGUUCAAAAAUGACAAGUCAAACAAGUUGUAGACAUUUUGGUUGUAGUCCAUAUGGGACUUACUAAUAAUAUUAAAUUUCGUAAUGUCUUUACGAAAUUUUCAGUUUUCAAAUAAUUCUGUUAAACUUAAAAAGAUUCCAAUUUAAAUUGUGUAGUUUUAUAAUUGUAUCAUAGUUUUGAUAUAUUUGAUCACCAUAUGCCAAUGAAUUCUCCAAAUUAUUCUUCGUAAUAUAAAAUAUUUAACUUUGAAAUAAAUUUAAAAAAAUAUAUCAAAUAUAAUAUAACUAGUAAUAACUUUACUAAUAUUCAUAAAUACACCUUAGGUAUAUGUAUAUCAAAACCAAGUUCAUUCUAAUAGCAUAUAGGUAAGUUAUAAAAAAUAGUCACAGCUAUAAGCUAAUUUAAUUAUUUUUAUCAUAAUCAGCCUUGGUCCUUGAAGGACUGGUUUAAUAUCAUUACAAAUUUAAAAGGACAGUAGCAACCUUAUUUAGCCUUAAAAAAAAAUUCCAUAAUUAACUAUAUUUGUUAUGUAGGUAAUGACAUCAUAAGUCAUUACAGUAGCCAUGUGUGUAUAUGUUUAUUAUAAAAUAUAAUAUAAACAUUAUACAACAUAUUAUAGUAAUGAGAUUAUUAAUUAUAGGCUAUAGUACUAAUGGUAAUUAGUGGAAAACAAAUAAGAGGAAAAGAACUGAUUUACAAUUUAUAAGAAAUACCUAGUAUUACAGGCAAAUACUUCUGGAUACUUACCACAUUUUGAACUGUAUACUCAAUUAAUAAGUAUUUAAUAUGUGUUUCUAUAUUACUUUAAUGAAUAAGUUUUGUAUCUGUAUGUGCAUCAAAUAUUUAUGUCAUUUGAAUAACAAAUACUAAAUACCUAUAAUUUAAUCGUAAAAUUCAUUAGGAUUAAAUUUUUUUUACAAGAAAUUGUAUAUUACUGUCAUAAAAAUAAGGAAUACUUGAGUCAAUGAUAAAUACAACAUUUUAUAAAUUACUCAUGAAAAUAUUAAUAAAUUAUAUUUAUUUUUGCUACAUCUAUCCUUCUGAAAUUUAAAAUUAAAUAAAAGAAAUCAGCAAAUCACUUAUUAAAACUAUAAUGUUUAAUGAUGCUUUCAUACACUAUGUUAAUAAAAAAUAACUGAUUAUAUUAUAAAAAUCAAAGGUUCAUAACUGUUAACUGUAUAUAACUUGAAAAAAACACAAAAUUAAAUGUAUAUUAUAUAUUUCUUACAAAAUUAAUUUGUCUUAUUUAUAAAAUGGAUUUUUAAAAAAACAAAACAUUAUAUUUUAUUGGUCUAUUCUACUUUUAUUCAAUAAGUCUUGGUUUGGCUACAGAAAGAAGAUUUAUUAGAGGUACAUUACAAUAAUUGUUACAAAAAAUUCACUCAGUAUAAAUAAUAAUUUGGCAUGCAACAGUUAUUACUCAUUUAAUAUUUUCAAUUAUAAACACAUUAAAUAAAAAUAAUAAAAUAUUAAAAGCAUAAAUGGUUAUGCUACCAUUAAAACACACAACGUAUACAUUGAUAAUUCUUACCCUGUAUCAAAAAACAAAAAAAAAAAUGUCUUCAUAUCGGAAAA